UUCUCUCUCUCUCUCUCUCUCUGCCUUAUCAUCUUCUUCUUUCCUUUCUCUUUCACUCAAACCCCACCACCACCAACUUUCUUCAUUCUUCUUCCCACUAUCACUAAUCUUUACCCAACCUCUUCUCACUACCACUCUACCAUCGGAGCCUCACUGUCGGCGCCCUACCUUCUCUCCGUCCUGCAAUCUCCGGCGACCAGCAUUUUUUUUCGGCGGAGCUUCUUUCUUUCUCUUCACUAAUUCAAGGUGCACUGCUGCCGGUAGGGCAUUUGAAGAAGGUGAGACUAGGGGAGACUAAAAGAAACAGAAGGUGUAGUGGGAAGAGUCCAGCUCAAGUAGAAAGUGAAAACAUCAAAACUUUUGGAUUUUAUGAGGCUUUCAAGCCUUUUGUCAGCAACAUUAAGAACACGUUGAUCAUCAUUUUAAAACUUGCCUUGAAGUUCAUUCCAAUUUUGAUCAUCUAUACCGAAAUUGAGUUUUAGAA